UACGAAGGGGGCUAGCGUUGCUCGGAAUCACUGGGCGUAAAGCGCACGUAGGCGGCUUCUUAAGUCAGGGGUGAAAUCCUGGAGCUCAACUCCAGAACUGCCUUUGAUACUGAGAAGCUUGAGUCCGGGAGAGGUGAGUGGAACUGCGAGUGUAGAGGUGAAAUUCGUAGAUAUUCGCAAGAACACCAAUGGCGAAGGCGGCUCACUGGCCCGGUACUGACGCUGAGGUGCGAAAGCCAGGGGAGCAAACGGG
rnacentral:rRNA from 1 species